rnacentral:rRNA from 1 species
AGCGACGCCGCGUGGGGGAUGACGGCHUUCGGGUUGUAAACCUCUUUCGCCAUCGACGAAGCCUUCGGGUGACGGUAGGUGGAGAAGAAGCACCGGCCAACUACGUGCCAGCAGCCGCGGUAAUACGUAGGGUGCGAGCGUUGUCCGGAAUUAUUGGGCGUAAAGAGCUCGUAGGCGGUGUGUCACGUCGGUCGUGAAAACUUGGGGCUUAACCCUGAGCGUGCGGUCGAUACGGGCAUCACUGGAGUUCGGCAGGGGAGACUGGAAUUCCUGGUGUAGCGGUGAAAUGCGCAGAUAUCAGGAGGAACACCGGUGGCGAAGKYKGGUCUCUGGGCCGAUACUGACGCUGAGGAGCGAAAGCGUGGGGAGCGAACAGGAUUAGAYACCCUGGUAVWMCACGCCGUAAACGGUGGGCGCUAGGUGUGGGGGCCAUUCCACGGUCUCUGUSCCGCAGCUAACGCAUUAAGCRCCCCGCCUGGGGAGUACGGCCGCAAGGCUA